rnacentral:rRNA from 1 species
GAGAAGUCCAUUGAACCUUAUCAUUUAGAGGAAGGAGAAGUCGUAACAAGGUUUCCGUAGGUGAACCUGCGGAAGGAUCAUUGUCGAGACCGAAAUAAUAUCGAGCGAUUCGGAGAACCCGUGAACGAGCGAGCGGCGGUAGCUGCCGUCGCUCAACAGCCGUCCCGGCCGUCGGCCUCGUCUUCAUCGGGGCCAUGGAUUAUGGGCGGAUUAAACUCAAACCGGCGCAGCUACGCGCCAAGGGAAUAUAAAGAGACACGAGCCCUGCAUCGGGUUCGGUGGCGUGGAGUGCUGUUGCACACCACACGGAUCGAAAUGACUCUCGGCAAUGGAUAUCUCGGCUCUCGCAUCGAUGAAGAGCGCAGCGAAAUGCGAUACGUGGUGCGAAUUGCAGAAUCCCGCGAACCAUCGAGAAUUUGAACGCAAGUUGCGCCCGAGGCCAUCUGGCCAAGGGCACGUCCGCCUGGGCGUCAAGCGUUGCGUCGCUCCGUGCCAACUCCAUGCAUGCCACAAGAUGGGUGUGUUUGCGGGAAGGCCCGGAUGUGCAGAGUGGCUCGUCGUGCCCGUCGGUGCGGCGGGUUGAAGAGUGGGUGAUCGUCUCAUGGGCCACGAACAGCAAGGGGUGGAUGAAAGUUGUGCCUGUGUUGUACCGUGUCGGCCUGAGAAAAGAUCAUACCUUGCGGAUGAUCCCUGCCCAAGCGUCGAUCCAUCGACGACGGCUUGGAAUGCGACCCCAGGAUGGGCGAGGCCACCCGCUGAGUUUAAGCAUAUCAAUAAGCG